AUGCCUCACAUCUAAAACAAACAUAAUCGAGUCUUUCUGAAAUCCUAAAUGCUUCGUUUUUUAUCAGUCAAAACCCUUGUGUCUCGCCAAAAUUCUAAAAAUUGUUGCCUUAACCAGAACCGCUUGAACGCUAAGCCCCUACUCAACUCCUUUAUUUACUCUUCCAAAUAUCAAAUUUGAAGACUAUAUAUGCUUAGUCUUUUUUUUUGCACCAUAUUCUUGAUCGCUCCUUCUGAAUGCGGUAUGAGCCACCUGCAUAGAUGAGGUGAUCUAGGCAGCACCAUUCAAGCAUUUGAUGUUGCUUUGCGAGCAACCCCAUCUGAAAAGAAUAAUGUUGUGAGGAGGGUCAUUUUCUCACCUAAGUUGGGGGCAACAGAUCCACUUAGUGGUGGUACAAAGCAUAGAAGAUGAUAUUUUCAGUGCCUCCACCAAAUACAGAUGAGACUAUCCUUUAAUAUUACUUCUACCAUCUACCUUUGUAAUAUUGUCUUUGAUGAAUAAAAAUUGAAUUAAUUGUCCGUCUU